ACAGCAGUAGCCGCGGGAAAACAGAGGCCUCAAGCGUUGUUCGGAUUCAUUGGGCGUAAAGGGUGCGUAGGUGGCUUGGUAAGUUGAAGGUGAAAUCUCGGGGCUUAACCCCGAAACUGCCUUCAAUACUGCUAGGCUCGAGGACUGUAGAGGAGAAUGGAAUUCACGGUGUAGCAGUGAAAUGCGUAGAUAUCGUGAGGAAGACCAGUGGCGAAGGCGAUUCUCUGGGCAGUUCCUGACACUGAGGCACGAAGGCCAGGGGAGCAAACGGGAUUAGAUACCCCGGUAGUCCCUGUCUCUUAUAC
rnacentral:rRNA from 1 species